AGGUGCUGAAUUCUUACAGCUUUUUCUUGUCUGUAAAGCUUUUGACCUCUCCAUCAAAUAUGAAUGAGAGCUUUGCUGGGUGGAGUAUUCUUGGUUCUAGAUUCCUCUUCUUUAUCACCUCAAAUGUAUCUUGCCACUCCCUUCUGGCUUGUAGAGCUUCUGCUGGCAAAUCAGCUUUUGGAGUUCCCAUCGUGGCUCAGGGUUAAUGAACCUGACUGGUAUCCAUGAGGAUGUGGAUUUGACCCCUGGCCUCACUCAGUGGGUUAAAGAUCCGGCAUUGCCAUGAGCUGUGGUGUAGGUUGCAGAUGCAGCUUGGAUCUGGUGUUGCUGUGGCUCUGGUGUAGGCCUGUGGCUACAGCUCCAAUUCGACCCCUAAAUUAAGAACCUCCAUAUGCAGAGGGGGUGGCCCUAAAAGACAUAUGUGGCAGGUGGGGCCCUAAAAAAAAAAAUCAGCUGUUAUCCUUAUGGGAGUUCCCUUCUAUGUGAUUUGUUGCUCUUCCCUGUGGCUUUUAAUAUUUUUCUUCGUACUUAAUUUUUGUCAGUUUGAUUAGUAUGCGUCUUGCUAUGUUUCUUGGGUUUAUUUUGUGUGGAAUUCUCUGUGCUUCCUCCACUUGAGUGUUUCCUUUCCCUUAUUUGGGAAAUUUUUGGCUAUAAUCUCUUCAAAUAUUUUCUCUGGCCCUUUUUUUCUCUAUUCUCUGGAACUCCUAUGAUGCAAAUGUUGGUGCGUUUAAUGCUGUCCCAGAGAUCUCUUAGACUCUCCUCGGUUCUUUCUCUUUCCUUUUUCUUUCUUCUUUUCUGCAGCACUGAUUUCCACCAUGCUGUCUUCCACCUAAUUUACUCAUUUUUCUGUCUCCAUUAACCUGCUAUUGGUUCCUUCUAGAAUAUUUUUCAUUUCCGCUGUCGUGCUAUUCUUCUUGCUCUUUAUAUCCUCUAGCUCUUUGUUAAACAUUUUUAAAAGGAGUUCCCAUUGUGGCUCAGUAGUAACGAACCCAACUAGUAUCCAUGAGGACACGGGUUCAAUCCCGGCCUCCCUCAGUGGGUUAAGGAUCCAGCAUUGCCUCGAGCUGUGUGUAGCUUACAGACAUGGCUCAGAUCUGGUGUUGCUGUGGCUGUGGUGUGGGCCAGCAGCUGCAACUCCAAAUUUGACCCCUCGCCUGGGAAUUUCCAUAUGCCAAGAGUGUGGUACUUAAAAGACAAAAAACUAAGAAAACAUCUCUUUAAGUUCUUGAUCUGUGCCUCAUUCUUUUUCCAAGAUCUUGGAUCAUCUUUACUAUCAUCACUGAAUUCUUUUUCGGAUGGAUUGCCUACUUCCUCAUCAUUUGUGUGUGUGUGUAUGUGUGUGUUUUUGUCUUGUUCCUUUGACUGAAAGCUGCUGCUUUGUCGUCUCAUAGUGUCUGCCUUUCUGUUCAUCAUCCCCUUGACAGCUGGUAUGUAGAUGCCGAAGCAGGUGUCCAGUUCUGGAGUUCUCAGGGCUGUAGUGGCUCGUGUGUACCCAGAACACGUUUUGGGAGCAGCGGUAUCACACUUCCUCUCCUGGAGCUGGGUGGCUGCUAGGGUUGGGCUCUGUGAGGCUGGUGGCAGUGACUCCCCAUUCACAAGAUGGCUUUUGUAGGAUGCAGGGGUAGCAGUGGCUCUUGCAACCCAUCCUGUUACCAGGUAGCUUUCAGGACUAUUUCCUGCAGCCUGCAAUGUCAGCAGUUGCUUCUGCCACCCUGCCCUGUGUCACGAGGCUCUAGGGACUGCUCCCUGUAGCAUUCUGCCACCAUCCCCUUGCUUGGCCACUCUAGGGCUCUCUCUCUAAAGCCCCAGGGGUGGGGGGCUUCUCCCUAACUGUUGCUAAAAGGCACUCUCUGUUAGCUGCAGGGUGUGUGUUUCUGGCAGUCCCUCCCCUCGCCUGGCUGCUGGGAGGAGCGCUCUCUGAGCCUCCACAGAUCAGAAUGUAGGUUAAUGAGCCUCCCACAGCUCCCUUGGCACGAAAUGAGUGCCACUUACCUGAGCCUUUGCAGGGCCACUGGUUGGGACGCUGUAGCUUGUGCUUUUCUCCAGUCCGGCCACGUGCAGCUCUGGCAGGGAGCGUGCACCAGCAGCCCUCUCUUGGCACUUUCUGGUGCAGAUCGGGUGCCGCUAUCGCGAGCCAUGCAAACCCUCAGGGCAGAGCCAAGGGUUUUCCCUGGUUGAGCAGAUUACUGCUCUUGUGGGGAAUGGGUGCCACCACCAGCAGCUCUUCUGGCACAGGUUGGGUGCCACUAGUGUGGGGGCCACUGGAAGGAGCCAGGAACUUGUGUUAUUCCCCCGGGCAGUUACUCCACCUGCUCCAAGAAGUCUGUAGCCCUAAGGGUGGGGCUGCUUCCCAGUUGAUGCUAGGCAGCCACUGCUGCCAGGUGGUUCCCGGAGCUGAAGCAGGCAGGGCCCUGGAGCUUGAGACAGUGCCCGCAGGGAACAAGGCUGUGGUGGUGGAUCCUGCGCCUUCCUGCCAGCACCCCAAACAAUCGCAUCUAGCCUCUAAGCCUGACUGGGUCGCCUCCACUUAAAAGCUCACGAUUGUGGUCGCCCUAUACUUGGGUCUCUCCAAGCCGUUUCUGCCCCCCCUGCUUCCCCCACUUAGCCUAACCCCACCCUAACCCUAACCCUAACCCUCUUUGGGUCUGAUCUCUAAGGCCAGAGUUUUAGUUCCCGACACCUGCCGGUACCUGCCUAGGGCUGCCCAUCGCACUGACCUUUUGUGAAGGGUCGUUUCCAUUUCCCUGCUUCUCGCCGUUUGUCCAGACGCCUUCCUCCCUUUGCGGCUGGUCUCCCCGCUGGUGGGGGCCUUCCCAGGGUGCAGGAGCUAUUCCUCCUGGGGAGCGGAUGCCGUCUCGCUUCCUUUCACUUCUUUUUCUUCUUUCUUUUGUCCUAUCUGCUUUCAUGAAGUUUUUCUUGCUCUGUCAUAAUCCUGAGGGUUUCUGGUCAGUUUUUAGAAAAUUUUCUAUGCAAAUAGUUCCAUACGUAGGUAUUUUUUCUUUUUAAGGUGAUGAUUUUGUUUUUCAUUCUUGACUUUAUAUAUUUAUUUAUUGUCUUUUUUUAGGGCCGCGCCUGCAGCAUAUGGAGGGUCCCAGGCUAGGGGUUGAAUUGAAGCUGUAGCCACUGGCCUAUGCUACAGCCACAGCAACAUCAGAUCCAAGCUGCAUCUGCGACCUGUAGGUAUAUUUCCAGUGUAUUUUUGGGAGUAGGUGAGCCUCACAUCCUGCUACUCUGCCAUCUUGGUUGGUCUCCUCUGAAUCAGUAAUUAAAAAACUCCGAGCAAACAAGAAUACCCGACCAGGUGGCUUCACAGGCAAAUUCUACCAAACAUUUAGAGAAGAGUUAACACCUAUCCUUCUGAGGCUAUUCCAAAAAACAUCAGAGGCAGGAACACUUCUGAAUUCAUUCUAUGAUGCCAUCAUUACCCUGAUACCAAAACCAGACA
rnacentral:lncRNA from 1 species